rnacentral:rRNA from 1 species
UCGAGGGGCAGCGGGGUAGUGCUUGCACUACUGCCGGCGACCGCCGUACGGGUGAGUAACACGUAUGGAACCUGCCCGCAGCAGGGGGAUAAGCGGAAGAAAUUCCGUCUAAUACCGCGUAAGAACGUUGGGAGGCAUCUCCCGAUGUUUAAAGAUUUAUCGGCUGCGGAUGGCCAUGCGGCGCAUUAGCUAGUCGGCGGGGUAACGGCCCACCGAGGCGACGAUGCGUAGGGGUUCUGAGAGGAAGGUCCCCCACACUGGUACUGAGACACGGACCAGACUCCUACGGGAGGCAGCAGUGAGGAAUAUUGGUCAAUGGCCGAGAGGCUGAACCAGCCAAGUCGCGUGAGGGAAGACGGCCCUACGGGUUGUAAACCUCUUUUGUCGGGGAGCAAAGCGAACCACGUGUGGUUCAUUGAGAGUACCCGAAGAAAAAGCAUCGGCUAACUCCGUGCCAGCAGCCGCGGUAAUACGGAGGAUGCGAGCGUUAUCCGGAUUUAUUGGGUUUAAAGGGUGCGCAGGCGGAGGUGCAAGUCAGCGGUCAAAUUGCGGGGCUCAACCCCGUACUGCCGUUGAAACUGCAUCCCUUGAGUGCGCGAGAAGUAUGCGGAAUGCGUGGUGUAGCGGUGAAAUGCAUAGAUAUCACGCAGAACUCCGAUUGCGAAGGCAGCAUACCGGCGCGCAACUGACGCUCAUGCACGAAAGCGUGGGUAUCGAACAGGAUUAGAUACCCUGGUAGUCCACNGCAGUAACGAUGAACACUAACUG